CUCCUUAGCUGUGAUGUGGCAAAAAUUUCAGACUUCGGGCUGACAAGGGACAUCGCAAAUGUUGAGGAAUACAUACGAACAAACCAGGAUCUACUACCUAUUAAAUGGAUGGCUUUGGAAAGUUUACUUUAUGGUCGCUUCACAGUUGCUAGUGAUGUAUGGAGUUUUGGCGUUUUUCUGUAUGAAUUGGUAACUUUAGG